ACUCCUACGGGAGGCAGCAGUGGGGAAGUAUUGCACAAUGGCAGGCAAGCCAUGCAUGCAGCCAUGCCGCGUGUGUGAAGAAGGCCUUCGGGUUGUAAAGCACUUUCAGUCGUGAGGAAGGUAGUGUAGUUAAUAGCUGCAUUAUUUGACGUUAGCGACAGAAGAAGCACCGGCUAACUCCGUGCCAGCAGCCGCGGUAAUACGGAGGGUGCGAGCGUUAAUCGGAAUUACUGGGCGUAAAGCGCAUGCAGGUGGUUUGUUAAGUCAGAUGUGAAAGCCC
rnacentral:rRNA from 1 species